ensembl:Y_RNA Y_RNA Y RNA
GGUUAGUCCGAGUGCAGUGGUGUUUACAACUAAUUGAUCACAACCAGUUACAGAUUUCUUUGUUCCUUCUCUACUCCCACUGCUUCACUUGACUAGAAAA